GCUGAAGUGGCUGAACGGAUAGGCAGGUGAUUGCAACCCACCUUUAUGCAAGUUCGAAUCUUGUCUUCAGCUCCA
rnacentral:tRNA from 1 species